rnacentral:sRNA from 12 species
AAACCAGUCUCGUAAGGCUUGGAUACGGUUGCUCCUAUGUAAGUAGGUGAUACUCCGUCGGCGUAAGCCCGCUUGGCGCGACAAGCGUGAACGGUGAGAAUCGACCCCCAAGGUGAGCUGGUUU